rnacentral:ribozyme from 1 species
CCUAUAAUUAUAGCGCCCGAACUAAGCGCCCGAAAAAAGGCUUAGUUGACGAGGAUGGAGGUUAUCGAAUUUUCGGCGGAUGCCUCCCGGCUGAUUAUGCAGAUCACAGCCGUAAGGAUUUCUUCA